CCUACGGGAGGCAGCAGUGGGGGAUAUUGCACAAUGGGGGGAACCCUGAUGCAGCGACGCCGCGUGGGUGAAGGAGCGCCUCGGCGCGUAAAGCCCUAUCGGCAGGGAAGAAGGUGGCGGUACCUGGACUAAAAAGCCCCGGCUAAUAACGUGCCAGCAGCAGCGGUAAUACGUAGGGGGCAAGCGUUAUCCGGAUUUACUGGCGGUAAGGGGGGGGCAGAGGGCAGCGCAAGCCAGGGGUGAAAGCCCGCGGCCCAACUCCGGAACUGCUUUUGAAACUGCGCGGCUGGAGUGCAGGAGGGGCAGGCGGAAUUCCUGGUGUAGGGGUGAAAUGCGUAGAUAUCAGGAGGAACACCGGUGGCGAAGGCGGCCUGCUGGACUACGACUGACGUUGAGGCCCGAAAGCGUGGGGAGCAAACAGGAUUAGAUACCCGAGUAGUC
rnacentral:rRNA from 1 species